CAUCGCGUUCCACAGAGCCCUCCAAGGGCUCUGGCGUUCCACUUAGUCCACAUGUCGGAAAAACAGGGAUGGGUUAACUCUAGCCAGGUUGGCCAUUGUUAGCACUACCAGUUGAUAGCAAUGCAUUUUGUGGUAUUUUGCACGUGCAAACGUAGCAACAUGUCCACAGAUAGAAGAUGGACAGUAGGCCUACUGUGUUUUCGGCUGAUUUAAUGAGAGAAAAAAAAUGCAGAAGUGCUAAAAACAGUAUAUUCAUAGAUAUAUGUUACUACUGUUGAUGCUCGGAGCAGCCAUGUUGGAUUUUAAGGUCGGUUGUGGUGCGGUUCUCCCGAAUUUCCGAGUGGGAAAUCCGACUUCAAGGGGUGUUCCAAAUAACAUUUCUGACCAGAAACCGUGCUUUCCAGUUCAACUGGAAUGCAGCAUCAAAACGCGCGUCGGUAACAAUCAAGGAUCUUGCGCCAUCUUGGAAUAUAUAAUUGAUUUACGCCUCUGAAAUCCUGGAUCAGCAAUCGAAGGCACCUCAACUCUGCCCCACUCUCCUCAGUCAGUUGGACGUUUUUCUGAAGAAAGGUGGCAAGACAGUAGCGACCCUUGUUCCAUUCAACUCCAAACUUCAACCAACACAGAUCUUGCUGUAAGGUGUUUAAGACCAGACCCACUACACAUGCAUGCACAAAGUUAACAGUCCCUUUCCCAAAACGUGACUUUAUAGCAGUUUGGAGGAGUAGAGAGCAGACAGCAAGAGGAGCUUUCUGUCAGAUGUGUGAAGGUACCAACAUACAGAUAAUACACUGCAGGGAGCAGAGCUUGUGUUGUUUUUUAUUCUAUUAUAGGUGAUUAUAUUCUAGUUCUAAAUGUAAUACAGAUAAUAUCUGUGGAUUACUGCAGAAGACUGAUUAGGAUUUCUAUGCAAUUUAUA